CUCAAAAGUCUGGGCCUAAGCCCACUGAUGAGUUGCUGAGAUGCAACGAAACUUUUGAG
rnacentral:hammerhead_ribozyme from 1 species